ensembl:lncRNA
AGGUUUGCACCAGCAGCUGGGUGGCAUACUGUGUUGGGUACGGCAGUUGGGUGGCAUACUGGGUUAGGUACGGCAGUUGGGUGGCAUACUGGGUUAGGUACGGCAGUUGGGUGGCAUACUGGGUUAGGUACGGCAGCUGGGUGGCAUACUGGGCUAGGUACGGCAGCUGGGUGGCAUACUGGGCUAGGUACGGCAGCUGGGUGGCAUACUGGGUUAGGUACGCCAGUUGGAGAAGUACAAAACAGAAUAAUAGUGCUGAGCAGACCGUAGUACCCUGUAGAAAUGGGGGUUGGUAGAGUGAAGAGACAGAGGUCAGAGGUCAGCCUCCUGAGUCACACACAGACAUCAUUAGACAUCAUAGAACUGUCACUCAUAAGAUGGAUAAACACACUUACUCUCUCCCCAUUCCCCUCCACAG